ACGUACACUCCUACGGGAGGCAGCAGUGGGGAAUAUUGCACAAUGGGCGCAAGCCUGAUGCAGCCAUGCCGCGUGUAUGAAGAAGGCCUUCGGGUUGUAAAGUACUUUCAGCGGGGAGGAAGGCGAUAAGGUUAAUAACCUUGUCGAUUGACGUUACCCGCAGAAGAAGCACCGGCUAACUCCGUGCCAGCAGCCGCGGUAAUACGGAGGGUGCAAGCGUUAAUCGGAAUUACUGGGCGUAAAGCGCACGCAGGCGGUCUGUCAAGUCGGAUGUGAAAUCCCCGGGCUCAACCUGGGAACUGCAUUCGAAACUGGCAGGCUAGAGUCUUGUAGAGGGGGGUAGAAUUCCAGGUGUAGCGGUGAAAUGCGUAGAGAUCUGGAGGAAUACCGGUGGCGAAGGCGGCCCCCUGGACAAAGACUGACGCUCAGGUGCGAAAGCGUGGGGAGCAAACAGGAUUAGAUACCCCAGUAGUCCCAUG
rnacentral:rRNA from 1 species